CCCUCGGUGUGGCGUUAGGGCUCCGUCUCCUCGGGCCCCAGAGCCAAAGCCUGGGUUGUGGGGACACGUGACCAGCUCAUCUGAAAGCUUGGGGGAUGUUCCGCGCACCGGCCCCUCGCAAACCCAGGCCACCGACCGUUGCGGAGCCCACGAACUCGGCCGGUCUCCAUGGUGACCCGCCCGCCGCAGAGGCCUCUGGGAAUUGUAGUUGGGCCGGAGCAGCGCCCGCGCCGAGUUCCGAGCGGUGGCGGUUACUGCUCGCCACUGCGGUCGGUCGGAGCUGGGCGGCGUCGGGGGGAGCUCUUGCGCGUUUCCUCGGCCUCCGGGAGCCCCGGCAGACGGGCGGCCGCCCGGAAAGGCAGGGUGUGGGCCCGGGCUCCAGGGAAGAUGGUGACUUCAGGAGUAAGGACUAGGCUUUUCACCUUAAAUCAAGGAGCUUGCUGAAAGAAGAUCCCAAGAGUGACUCUUCACAGGUAUCAGACCUGGGAGACACCUCAGAAUGUUCCAGAACCUUGGGCCAGCACUGGGGAGCCUCCACAUGGGAGGCCAAGCUGCUGCCUUGCCCAAGAGAAGAGUUGCAAGCAGGAGAGGGAAGAAGCAGCCACGAUGGUGACAGAAGUGACCAGAACUCUAGACAAGACUUCAAGGAAGCUCUUCGAGGAAGAACCACAUCCUGUCCAUGCCGUUCUCCACGGCCCCUCUGAGCACCGCGGAACUUGGCCUGGAGACCGGGUACGGCUGUGGCCACUGCAGGCAAAGCCCACGGACUUGUGGUUCAGCACGAUUGUGGGCGGAGAUGCCCUGGGUGACCCAAGAUGUGGCCUGCCUUCUGGGACAGUUGUCGUCGCACUCUUCCAGGUCACGCAGGAGGAAGGUGAUCUCGUCCCUGUUGCCAGCGCUUGCCCCUGGUACCUGCUCACGCCGGGCGGGCCGAGCAGAUUCUCCCUGUGGCCCACCACGCCCAGCGCCCGAGUAACUUCGGGGCAGGGGAGGCGGGGAGCAAGCGAGCGAUCGGGAUUGUUGCGGAACUGGCCAUGCAGUGUCCUGGUUAGGUCUGGCUGGCGUACGGGCCAUCCUCAGCAGGAACCCACAGCUCCUUGAGGGCCCAGCCUGUGUCUGAAGCCGUGCCUGGCUUAGCGCCCGGCUGGAGUAGGGGCAUGCUCCCAUAGUUCCCUGUGGCCAGGGAGUCCGCGGAGGGCCCAAGGAGAACAGUUGCUAGUGACUGUCCUCAAGUGUCCUACUGCGCCCCCCACCCCCCAGUGAGUGUGUCCUGCCUUUGCUUUAUGGCGAAGUCCUGGGUCCUCAGCACAAAACAGACGGUGCCCCCUUGUGUUUGUGAGCUGCGGACUCCCUGUCUCCUUGGGCAGUGGGGGGUGAUCCUGUGUAUAUAUCCAGGGUUUUUCAGAGCCUCAGAGCUCUCUGCUGCUUUCUUUUAAAGCUGGUGAGUUAAAAAUGUCUAGGCCGGAUAGUAGGUGCUGGUCCCGAGGGCUGGCGUCGCCCAUAGAACCACAUCUCCUGGGAGCCCGGGGCUGCUUGCGAACAGGGGAACCUGGAAGCUGGUGGAGAUGUGAGCAGGUCACCAGCGGUUAAAGAGAGAAAGGGAGGGCCCUUGCGAGCUUCCUCUUUGUCUGCUUGCCAGGGGCUUUCCUGCUCACCCCAGUGUGUCUGGGCAGGAGCACAGCUGGCCACCAGGUGUGCAUGCUCGGGCUUUGGAAGUUUGUGGCUGGAAUGUCGCAGUGGGUCACCAGAAUGCUCUCUCACAUGAUUCCCCUAGUGACCACCCGGAGACCCCACUGAACAGAAAUGAAGGCACACGGGUAGUGAUCGAAAGAGAUGAUCCCGUGCGGGCUGGAGGGGAGCAGGACGCUGGAGAGGCCGGCGGCUCUCAGCUGGGCACUCCCGGGGAACUGGGGUGGUGGGCGGCGGGGGGAGAUGCUCGCGGAGCCGCGGGUUCUGGUCGGCGCAUGCGUCAGGUUCGGACCGGCCCAGCCCGCACUUGGUGGCCACGGUCAAGGGCCUCGCGCCCCGCCGAAUCCCCAGCAGCCGCGGGAAGUCGCGUGUUCCUGUCCUCGUGUUCACAUGAAGAAAAUGAGGUUUAGAGAGGUUAAAUAACUUGCCCAAGGGUGGGCAGCGAGCUGGGGGAGGGUCAGGGCUUCACCUCCGCGUCUGCCCGUCCCUCCGGCCGCGGCGGUGAGGCGCUGCUUCUCCCCUUGGACUUUCCCUUGCGUCGCUGGAAUCCCCAAUCCACGCGGCGUCUCGAUGUGGGGCCACGUCGAAGUGGUCCUGCUGGCUCAGCCCCUUCUCGGCCCGCCUGUGGUUUCUGAGAGACCACGUCGCGUGGGUGCUGAACCUCCUCCCGAUGACCCCCAUGGCCGCCAGGUUCACGAGCGACUACCCCCACCCCCCACCCCCGCUCUCCCGCAUUUACUGGAAGUUCUGUUGUGGGCAUCUGGGGACAGCCUUGGGUCGUGGCAGACGCAGGAAUCUGUGAUUUCUGCUCUCCGUUCUGAGUGGGACCCUCAGGCAGAACAAGGCGGGAACAAUUUCUUUCUGUUCCACUGUGUCUGGGCCUCACCCCAAGAGGCCCAGAUGGCUGGAUUUGGCUACUGUCUGGUUGUGGCUGUAGGGUGGGGGCUUUGGUUCUGUCUGCCAGUGGGAUCUGUCCCCUCUUCUUCACGUGGCAUCCCCUGAAAUGGGGCGGAAGUGCCCAAAAUGGUGUCUCCUCUUGCGUGCCCGGUGCUUUCAUGGUCUCUCUUCAGUGGCAUGUGAGUCACUGUGACAGGCUUGUUCCUUAUUCCCUCCGCGGUCAGCUGGCUUAGAGGGGAACACGUGCCUUCAUUCUGCCAAUAAAAAUUAGGAGGAAGUGGGCUGGAGGAACGUCUGGGAAGAAUUUUGCUUUUUGAUUAAAGGAAGGGUGGUGAAGAAGCCUGGCCCUUCUUCCUGCUUCGGACAUGGAUGUUUGAGGAUGUGACACUUAGAGCUGUAGCAGCCAUCUUGGGACCAUGAGGCAACAAGACCAAGGGAAAAAGCCAGCACACAAAGUUGGCCCAGCAGUCAGACAAAAAGAGCCUGGUCCUAGAUGACAUCGUUGAGCCACUAUACCUAUCCUGGAAUCAGCUACUACCAGUCUUGAUACAUUAAUCAAAUGUCGUUGUCUUCUAAGCAGAUUUCUGCUAUUUGAGGCCUAAGACGUUCUUAGCUAGUAUUGCAGUCCUCUGAACCUGUCCGUCAUGAACUCCUUGGAGCCCCAUGGCUCUUGGUUUAGAUCCAAAUGGGAAAUCACUGCACGUUUGGACAGUGGAAAUCUUAACUCACGUGGUAGGAGAUACAAGUCAAGAUUUCUCACAGCCUACGGAGCAAUUCAGCACAUAGUCCCAUCUCCCCGGGGUCUGUUGGACUCAAAUGAGGAAAGACAGAUUCAGGAAAGUUCUAUGUGCAUGAGCAUGAGUCUUCUAAAAUGGAGCUCAGUGAUGACUUUGGGGGCCACAAGUGCAGGGAGGGGAGAGGGAGAGAGCCUAAGCAUGGGCCAGAAAGCCAUGGAAAGCACGUGGUAGGGGGCAGCAAGCUGCGAUGGACAGAUGGCGGGUGGGUCGGAUCACUUCUGCGGGAGGCCAGGGUCCACAGCGGGAUUUCACAAGGGCCAAGUAGUGGCUGGGAGGAGUUUAUGGCAACUGGAACUAAACUGGUGGAAAACGAUGCCUUUCCGUUAGCUCUCCAGCCAGCCUUUCUGACAUUUCAAAUCCUCUUGGGAACAGAGCUUGAAUCGUGGCCGUUGCCUGGGUGCGGGCGCUCCCACGUUUCUUCAUUCUUUGUUUCUCCUCCUCGCCCUCUCACACCACUAUUUCUUCCUGUUUUCUCCGCAAAGCCAGGAGCCAGAACUGCGCAAGAUCUGAAUCUCUUCUACCUCAGCUGGAGAGUAAAGAUCGCGGGAGGCAAGGAUGUCUUAGGGAGGCCUUGUCUGGGGAUCAUCCUGGUUUGCUUGGGAGGCGGGAAAGCCAUCCGCUGGUAAGGACUAGAUUAAGCUUUCUUCUGCCCCAACUUUGACCAAGCAGUGGGGUCGGGGGGUUGGGGGGGCUUCUUCAACCCAACACAGGAAAUUGUGUGGUCCUGCCUUCCCUUGUGCAAGGAGACAUUGAUCCCGAGCACUCGAAGCCCUCCUCUUUCCAUUUCUAGUUUCAGGUACGUGACAGAUAACCUGGAACCCUCCUCACGCAUCCUACCAAUAUGUCAUUGCGCUCAGAACUUGAGAAAAGUCUCACCCACCCAUUUCCCAUCCCCACAUCAUCAGUAGAAGAGACGCGUGGCCUGUAGAAGUUCAUCAAACGAACAGGGCCCGAACAUGGGCAGCAGACUCCGUCCCUAAGCCUCGCCCCUCUGGGCACAGCCCUUAUGACCCUGCGUGUCUUAGAAGUCCUGCCCCCAAAGGCCAAAACCAGGCCAACCCUGACAUUUGCCCUACUGCGUCUUUCACUCCCUCAGUAGAAGUACUGAACACCUAGAAUUACAAGCUAAGGUUAUAAAAGCAAUGAGAUAAUUAGGAAAAGCAGUCACUGAAGACACACACACAAAAAUUCCAGAUCUCAUCAGAGAAAAGAAAGAAAGCUUUGGGAUGGAGGAAACAAAAAAGGGUGACCUCCUCCUCUGAUGUGAUGCAUGUUUCAUUGUGAUGCUUAAUACACCAUGAAUUCCCCCACCCCCACACUGGGCCCCUAUACCGCGAAGGUUUCUCUGAA